rnacentral:rRNA from 1 species
UACGUAGGCAGCGAGCGUUGUUCGGAGUUACUGGGCGUAAAGCGUGUGUAGGCGGUGUUCCAAGUCUGUUGUGAAAUCUCCCGGCUUAACCGGGAGGGUGCGGCGGAAACUGGGAUGCUGGAGUGCGGGAGAGGUAAGCGGAAUUCCCGGUGUAGCGGUGAAAUGCGUAGAGAUCGGGAGGAACACCAGUGGCGAAGGCGGCUACCUGGACCAGCACUGACACUGAAGCACGAAAGCGUGGGGAGCAAACAGG